rnacentral:rRNA from 1 species
GAUGAACGCUGGCGGCGUGCCUAAUACAUGCAAGUCGAGCGAACAGACGAGGAGCUUGCUCCUCUGACGUUAGCGGCGGACGGGUGAGUAACACGUGGAUAACCUACCUAUAAGACUGGGAUAACUUCGGGAAACCGGAGCUAAUACCGGAUAAUAUAUUGAACCGCAUGGUUCAAUAGUGAAAGACGGUUUUGCUGUCACUUAUAGAUGGAUCCGCGCCGCAUUAGCUAGUUGGUAAGGUAACGGCUUACCAAGGCAACGAUGCGUAGCCGACCUGAGAGGGGGAGCCGCACCACUGGAACUGAGAAAACGUCCAGACUCCCACGGGAGGCAACAGUGGGGAAUAUUGCACAAUGGGGGCAAGCCUGAGACAGCCAAACCGGGGGGGUGAAGAAGGGUUUCGGGUUGUAAAACCCUUUUUUUCGGGAAAAAAAAAAGGUGGAUAAAACCCUGCGGUUCUGACGGGACCCAAAGAAAAAGCCCCGGCUAAAUUCGUG